rnacentral:rRNA from 1 species
GAUGAACGCUGGCGGCGUGCUUAACACAUGCAAGUCGAACGGUAAUUAUUUUAUUGAAACUUCGGUCGAUUUAAUUUAAUUCUAGUGGCGGACUGGUGAGUAACGCGUGGGUAACCUGCCUUAUACAGGGGGAGAACAGUCAUAAAUGGCUGCUAAUACCGCAUAAGCGCACACAGCUGCAUGGCUCAUUGUGAAAAACUCCGGUGGUAUAAGAUGGACCCGCGUUGGAUUAGCUGGUUGGUGGGGUAACGGCCCACCAAGGCGACGAUCCAUAGCCGGCAUGAGAGGGGGAACGGCCACAUUGGGACUGAGACACGGCCCAGACUCCUACGGGAGGCAGCAGUGGGGAAUAUUGCACAAUGGGGGAAACCCUGAUGCAGCGACGCCGCGUGAAGGAAGAAGUAUCUCGGUAUGUAAACUUCUAUCAGCAGGGAAGAUAGCGACGGUACCUGUCUAAGAAGCCCCGGCUAACUACGUG